rnacentral:rRNA from 1 species
GACGAACGCUGGCGGCGCGCUUAACACAUGCAAGUCGAACGGAAAGGCCUGCUUUCCCUUGUGGAUUGCGGGUACUCGAGUGGCGAACGGGUGAGUAACACGUGAGUGAUGUGCGCCCAACUUGGGUAUAAGCCUGGGAAACUGGGUCUAAUUCGCGAGAGGACUGCAGGGUGGUUCCUGUGGUGGGAAACGAGAUUCUAGUGGGUGGGGAUGGGCUCGCGGCCUAUUAGCUUGUUGGUGGGGUAAUGGCCUACGAAGGCUGCGACCGGUAGCUGGCCGGAGAUGGUGGACAGUGACAUUGAGACACGGAUAAGACCCAGACUGGUACGGGAGGCAGCAGUGGGGAAUCUUACACCGUGGGCGGAAGCCUGAUGCGGCGACGCCGUGUGGAGGAUGUCCGCAUUGGGGUUGUAUACUACUUGCGAGCGAGAGGAAGCAACCUGGUUGGAAGUGUGGUGACGGUAGUAGUAGAAGAAGCACCGGCUAACUACGUG